CCUAACACAUGCAAGUCGAGCGGUAACAGAAAGUAGCUUGCUACUUUGCUGACGAGCGGCGGACGGGUGAGUAAUGCUUGGGAACAUGCCUUGAGGUGGGGGACAACAGUUGGAAACGACUGCUAAUACCGCAUAAUGUCUACGGACCAAAGGGGGCUUCGGCUCUCGCCUUUAGAUUGGCCCAAGUGGGAUUAGCUAGUUGGUGAGGUAAUGGCUCACCAAGGCGACGAUCCCUAGCUGGUUUGAGAGGAUGAUCAGCCACACUGGGACUGAGACACGGCCCAGACUCCUACGGGAGGCAGCAGUGGGGAAUAUUGCACAAUGGGCGCAAGCCUGAUGCAGCCAUGCCGCGUGUGUGAAGAAGGCCUUCGGGUUGUAAAGCACUUUCAGUCAGGAGGAAAGGUUAACGGUUAAUACCCGUUAGCUGUGACGUUACUGACAGAAGAAGCACCGGCUAACUCCGUGCCAGCAGCCGCGGUAAUACGGAGGGUGCGAGCGUUAAUCGGAAUUACUGGGCGUAAAGCGUACGCAGGCGGUUUGUUAAGCGAGAUGUGAAAGCCCCGGGCUCAACCUGGGAACUGCAUUUCGAACUGGCAAACUAGAGUGUGAUAGAGGGUGGUAG
rnacentral:rRNA from 1 species